rnacentral:rRNA from 1 species
CAGUCGAGCGGACAGAUGGGAGCUUGCUCCCUGAUGUCAGCGGCGGACGGGUGAGUAACACGUGGGUAACCUGCCUGUAAGACUGGGAUAACUCCGGGAAACCGGGGCUAAUACCGGAUGCUUGAUUGAACCGCAUGGUUCAAUUAUAAAAGGUGGCUUUUAGCUACCACUUACAGAUGGACCCGCGGCGCAUUAGCUAGUUGGUGAGGUAACGGCUCACCAAGGCAACGAUGCGUAGCCGACCUGAGAGGGUGAUCGGCCACACUGGGACUGAGACACGGCCCAAACUCCUACGGGAGGCAGCAGUAGGGAAUCUUCCGCAAUGGACGAAAGUCUGACGGAGCAACGCCGCGUGAGUGAUGAAGGUUUUCGGAUCGUAAAACUCUGUUGUUAGGGAAGAACAAGUACCGUUCGAAUAGGGCGGUACCUUGACGGUACCUAACCAGAAAGCCACGGCUAACUACGUGCCAGCAGCCGCGGUAAUACGUAGGUGGCAAGCGUUGUCCGGAAUUAUUGGGCGUAAAGCGCGCGCAGGCGGUUUCUUAAGUCUGAUGUGAAAGCCCCCGGCUCAACCGGGGAGGGUCAUUGGAAACUGGGGAACUUGAGUGCACAAGAGGAGAGUGGAAUUCCACGUGUAGCGGUGAAAUGCGUAAAGAUGUGGAGGAACACCAGUGGCGAAGGCGACUCUCUGGUCUGUAAC